GUUCAGCCAAAGUAAUGUUUGUUCACGUGUAAACCAAUUCAUUCUGAAGUUUGUCUCUUGUCUUCCAUUCUCCUUUAGUGACAGGGCUUCGGUUUGAACUGUUAGACAGAUGAACGCCUGCUCUCUUUUAAGCUACAUUAGCUAAGCUACAGACGAUAGAAGUGCUGAUUGUGGUAAAAUGUCCGAGGAGAGUACCUUACUUGCCGAAUUAAAAAGUUCCCCAGUGUUGUAUAUGGAAGACAACGACCAGCUUCCAGCAUCUGCUUCCAAUUAUCAUGCAACAAGGCAUAAGGGAACUGUCAGGAUCUAGAUCUACUACCAACAAUGGGUAUUUUGUCACCAAAAUCGAUUACUCUUGGUCGAUUGAAGUCAAUAUCUUUGGCUUCCAAGGCUGUGGUGAGCUUUGGAGACGUUCCAUAUUGCUAUGAAGUUGAAGAUGCCCGGAGUUAAUUGUUCAUCCACAGCAUGGGAUCGAUUGGUGGGAUAAGCGUUUGGAGUGCCUUUGUUGUUUCGAUCCUUCCAAGUCUUACCGGAAUGUAUCGUGCUGAAUCCUGGGUGUUUGCCAAUAACCAUUCAAGUGGGGCUGUAGAAUGUGUUUCUUCUUGGUAGAUGUACAGUUAGUGGGAUCCGUUGUGGCACCUAUUGGUCAUUUUAGUGAUGUUGAUAUAGCAUAUAUGCUCUUUCUGGUCGAUGUAACCUAUCGCUAUGUCCACGCAAUUAUCCCUGACAGUUGUACAGCAGAAAGCGAGCCUACCUUUUGCUUGCGAGCUCAUCUUGGACUACGUUCCCAUGUAUGCGAGUAAGUCAUCCAAUUGUUUGGUAAUGCGCAACAAACUUUGCUCCUUGUAUCUGUGAAACAUCAAUCUGUCAUACAGAAGCACAGCUUUGGUUCAUAA